rnacentral:rRNA from 1 species
CGGGGUGCAGCAGGCGCGAAAACUUUACAAUGCUGGCAACAGCGAUAAGGGGACCUCGAGUGCCAGGAUACAAUCUUGGCUGUCGCGAUGCCUAAAAAGCAUUGCAUAGCAAGGGCCGGGCAAGACCGGUGCCAGCCGCCGCGGUAACACCGGCGGCUCGAGUGGUAACCGCUAUUAUUGGGUCUAAAGGGUCUGUAGCCGGCCGGAUAAGUCUUUUGGGAAAUCCAGCUGCUCAACAGUUGGGUUUUCCGAAGAUACUGUUUGGCUCGAGACUGGGAGAGGUGAGAGGUAAUUCAGGGGUAGGGGUGAAAUCUUGUAAUCCUUGAAGGACCACCAGUGGGGAAGGCGUCUCACCAGAACGGAUCUGACGGCAAGGGACGAAAGCUAGGGGCACGAACCGGAUUAGAUACCCGGGUAGUCCUAGCCGUUAACGAUACUCGCUAGGUGCCAGCCACGGUGCGACCGUGGUUGGUGCCGUAGGGAAGCCGUGAAGCGAGCCGCUUGGGAAGUACGGCCGCAAGGCUGAAACUUAAAGGAAUCGGCGGGGGAGCACAAGGGCGAUUCGC